CAGCGCCACGAGUGGGGAUCAUGUUUAUUGGGCCUAAAGCGUCCGUAGCCGGUUUGAUAAAUCUUUUGUGAAAUUGUCGUGCUUAACAUGACAGCGUGCAAAAGACACUAUUUAACUUGGAACUGGGAGGAGUCAGAGGUAUUCUAGGGGGAGCGGUAAAAUGUUAUAAUCUCUAGAGGACCACCUGUGGCGAAGGCAUCUGACCAGAACGGAUCUGACGGUGAGGGACGAAAGCUAGGGGAGCGAUCCGGAUUAGAUACCCGAGUAGUCC
rnacentral:rRNA from 1 species